GACGAACGCUGGCGGCGUGCUUAACACAUGCAAGUCGAGCGGAAAGGCCCUUCGGGGUACUCGAGCGGCGAACGGGUGAGUAACACGUGAGUAACCUGCCCUGGACUUUGGGAUAACCCUCGGAAACGGGGGCUAAUACCGGAUAUGACCUGUCACUGCAUGGUGGUGGGUGGAAAGUUUUUCGGUCUGGGAUGGGCUCGCGGCCUAUCAGCUUGUUGGUGGGGUGAUGGCCUACCAAGGCGACGACGGGUAGCCGGCCUGAGAGGGCGACCGGCCACACUGGGGACUGAGACACGGCCCAGACUCCUACGGGAGGCAGCAGUGGGAAUAUUGCACAAUGGGCGGAAGCCUGAUGCAGCGACGCCGCGUGAGGGAUGACGGCC
rnacentral:rRNA from 1 species